GAUGAACGCUGGCGGCGUGCCUAAUACAUGCAAGUCGAGCGAACGGACGAGAAGCUUGCUUCUCUGAUGUUAGCGGCGGACGGGUGAGUAACACGUGGAUAACCUACCUAUAAGACUGGGAUAACUUCGGGAAACCGGAGCUAAUACCGGAUAAUAUUUUGAACCGCAUGGUUCAAAAGUAAAAGACGGUCUUGCUGUCACUUAUAGAUGGAUCCGCGCUGCAUUAGCUAGUUGGUAAGGUAACGGCUUACCAAGGCAACGAUGCAUAGCCGACCUGAGAGGGUGAUCGGCCACACUGGAACUGAGACACGGUCCAGACUCCUACGGGAGGCAGCAGUAGGGAAUCUUCCGAAAUGGGCGAAAGCCUGACGGAGCAACGCCGCGUGAGUGAUGAAGGUCUUCGGAUCGUAAAACUCUGUUAUUAGGGAAGAACAUAUGUGUAAGUAACUGUGCACAUCUUGACGGUACCUAAUCAGAAAGCCACGGCUAACUACGU
rnacentral:rRNA from 1 species